AAUCCAUGCAUUAGACACUUCUGAAUUAAAAUUUUAAAUCAUUCCCAAGCUUCAUAUAAUAUUUCAUCAUCUAACUACCAAAAAGAUAUGAUGUCAUUUCUAAGCUU
rfam:Gossypium arboreum cultivar AKA8401 contig_39585_1, whole genome shotgun sequence.